rnacentral:rRNA from 1 species
AUUGAACGCUGGCGGCAUGCCUUACAAAUGCAAGUCGAACGGCAGCACAGGAGAGCUUGCUCUCUGGGUGGCGAGUGGCGGACGGGUGAGGAAUACAUCGGAAUCUACUUUUUCGUGGGGGAUAACGUAGGGAAACUUACGCUAAUACCGCAUACGACCUACGGGUGAAAGCAGGGGACCUUCGGGCCUUGCGCGAUUGAAUGAGCCGAUGUCGGAUUAGCUAGUUGGCGGGGUAAAGGCCCACCAAGGCGACGAUCCGUAGCUGGUCUGAGAGGAUGAUCAGCCACACUGGAACUGAGACACGGUCCCGACUCCUACGGGAGGCAGCAGUGGGGAAUAUUGGACAAGUGGCGCAAGCCUGAUCCAGCCAUACCGCGUGGGUGAAGCAGGCCUUCGGGUUGAAAAGCCCUUUUGUUGGGAAAGAAAUCCAGCUGGCUAAUACCCGGUUGGGAUGACGGUACCCAAAGAAUAAGCACCGGCUAACUUCGUGCCAGCCGCCGCCGUAA